rnacentral:rRNA from 1 species
GCGCACCAGGCGCGAACCUUCGCAAUGCGGGAAACCGCGACGAGGGACUCCCAGUGCCUACGCUCAGCGUAGGCUGUUCCCGAGCCUAGAAAGCUCGGGGAGUAAGGGCUGGGUAAGACGGGUGCCAGCCGCCGCGGUAAUACCCGCAGCCCGAGUGGUGGCCACUAUUAUUGGGCCUAAAGCGUCCGUAGCCGGCCCGGUAAAUGCCUGGGUAAAUCGUGAGGCCUAACCUCACGAAUUCCGGGUAGACUGCCGGGCUAGGGACCGGAGGAGGGAGAGGGUACUCCAGGGGUAGGGGUGAAAUCCUGUAAUCCCUGGAGGACCACCGGUGGCGAAGGCGCUCUCCUAGGACGGGUCCGACGGUGAGGGACGAAAGCCAGGGGAGCGAACCGGAUUAGAUACCCCUGUAGU